UUUUCAGCACUUAUUUAGGCAUUUCUUGUUCCGAUAACCCUAACCAUUUUCCUUUCUUUUUUUUUUUUUUUGCCCAAAACCACCAUGGCAUGCCAAUUUUGCUCUUCAUUUAAUGGUGAUACGGAAUGCCAAGGACUUGAAUGCGCUUUCCAACGAUAUUUAACUCCCGAAAUGCUUGAGAUGGAGCAUUUUCGUAAUCUGUUCGAGUCUGCUUUUUCGAAGUUUGGAGGGAUCGAUAAUCUCUAGGACCAUCUCAUUUUUUAUGUACCUGAGGUGGAGAGGUCGCUUUUCCUUCAUGCCCGCUUCAUAGAGGCCGAGAGCUUCCGCUCUGAGCCUUGAUUGGGUGCUGUGUACAAAAUUAUUCAGUUCAAAGCUGAAAACAGAGCACUUAAACAAGCAUUGACACGGAACACAAAUGUGUUCAAACGGAUUUCAGAGGCCUCAGAUGGAUUCAUUAGAGUUUUGGUAGCAGUCCAACAAUGGGUAGAAAGAGUUAGGCGUCUUUGGGUUAAUAGGGAGAAUUCGGUUAGAGACGAUUAGCCCAUCAUCAACAAAGUAUAGGAUGCAGACAACCAGAGUAUGUUCUGGAGAGGAUUAUUGGCUCUGUUAACGUACAAUAGUGUUAUUUAGAAGUGUUAAUUAGGAAGCUUUUGAAGUCCCUAUAUUUUUCAUGCCAAUUCGCAAUAUUCUGUAGAUUUUAUAACAUACACUAGUGCAAUGUAGAGAAGAAAAAAGUAGUGAUACUCGUCUGUCUUAUGAUUCUUUGAUGAGCUAUUAGUGUCCUUACACCUUUUAUAGCGUCUUUUUGAGGGGUGAUUUUCAUGAGACAUGAUGAACUCGCUUUGCUAGUUGAUGCGUGUUCAUACUAAUUAAUAAUGUCACACAUAUAGAUAGCUGCAUACAUUUCCGAUGUUUCUUGUAUCCUUGGUAUAGUUGUUGAUUGUGUAUUCUGCAUUACCAGGAUUAAUCUUGAAUUGGCUAUGACUGAACCUAGAUCCAUAAGUAGUUGUUGACGGUAAAAAUCUACGAUUAAAUUUAGUAAUAUGCCUAGUUGUGUAGUCUGAAGAACUGCAAAGAAUGUGAAAACUAAAAAAGCAAUCAUUUGAUGUUUCUACAGAAAAAUGUUAUUAGUUAUAGGUCCUGAAGAGAGAUUUAGGCAUCUUUAGCUUUUACACUUUCUGUUUUGAUAGAUGAGUUCGGGGGUCGACUUGUGCCAAACGUGUUCUUUUAAUUUCGUUGAUAUUACCUAUUGUGAGUUAAGUCGAUCAGUUCAAUAUGCAUGUGGAGAAAUUGAAGCUAACGACUGGUUGAUUCAUCUGAUGAUUAAAUUCAUCUUUUGGGUCUUAGUUUUUAUUUUAUUUUUAAAUGCUGGAUACCAAGUUGAGUUUCUCCGGAGUAGCUGUUUAUUUUUAUUCUAUGACAUCUGUGUCAUUAAUUACUAGAGAUCGACCUAGAAAACCGAUUAAGCGUUGUCUUAGUCUGUUGGUUUAUGGGAUCAUAUUAGCUAGUGCUUGUUUAAUUGUUACUUGUUUGCUGCUUCUUGAUGCUGCAGAUUGAUAUGUUUGAAAGAGUCUGUUAAAUUUCUGACCGAUCACCAAAUUAGAGUUUCCUCUUUGGUGAUUUAGUAUUUCGUUUUAGUUGUUAUCUCUAACUUCCAACUAUUACAACAAUGCAUCAUUUUGCAUCUAGCUAUCACGAUG